CCAUGUAAAUGAUGGCUCAGCCGUCAUUUUAUUUAUUGCCCUUUGUCGCCUCAUUGUGGUACUUUAGAUUGUUGCGCAAGUUUGUCUCGUGGUUGCGCCAUUUUCAGGAUUUUGUUGAACAGGCUGACAGGGUUUGUGCUUCUCUGAUUUGGUCUAAUAUAUUAUUCUUUUUCCAUACAGUUAAGAUUGUUUAAAUGUUAAAUAUUGAAGUACCUGCUUGUUUGUGAUAUUAUUAGCCGAAAAAAUCGUUUACACACUUCUUCAAUUCAUUGAGACUUUAUAUUGGAACAUUUCAUCAGUCCACUGAGACACUAUUUUGGAACGCUUCAUAACAUCUAAGUUAUUUCAUUUGGUCAUUUUUGAACACGAUUUGGAAGUAACAUCAAAA